UGCUGCCUCCAACAGAUGUAUCACUAGAAUCUUCUUGAUCAGAUCGUAGCAUGCUAAUCACUUUGCAGAAUGAAUGCGUUGUAAUGAUGAAAUCCAGCUACUUGAAGGGCCAAUUUUGCUGCUGUUUCCUUGAGCAGGAUUUGCAGGUUCAGUGGGCAAAACAGGCUUUGGGGCAUUUCUUUUUGAGGUCCCAGCAAGUGAAAAGGAAGUGGAAGGGAUGUGUGCAUCAGUUACAGUAUUCUUAUCAACAUGAUUGUCAGAGCUCAAAUUCUUGCCCAUUGCUGAUUUGAAUUGCAUGCGUACACCAGGACCAUUAGAUCUCAUGAUGUCAGAGGAAUAUUGAGCAUUAUUGCUUCCUUGAGGGUUCUCCAUAUCUGUUGGCACUAUAUGGCUACUACUUGCACCAGGAACUGGAGAUGAACGAGGUUGACUUCUACUCUUUUGUGCCUGCUGAUA
rnacentral:misc_RNA from 1 species